ensembl:lncRNA
AGUGAAAGGGAAAGCUAAUUACACUGCAGACAUCAGCAGACGGCUUCAAUUCUUUAUUUCGUGUUAUUUCAAACUAAAUGGCACUGGUAAAAACAGCUCUGCUGGAAGGUGCUCAGGCAUUUUAUGCUCAAAUACUUCUUAAUGGUCCCUAUGCAGUGUCCACUGCUUCCAAGCUACUCACUGAGCAGCAAUCAUCAAACACAGACAAAAUCUUAAUUGCACAUAUUACAUGUGUUUAAGGUAUGAUAACAAUGCAUUUCUGUAAGUAAAUAUAAACUGGAUUGUUUAUAUAUUGUGUUUUGCAAUAAUUGUUAUAAUUUAAUCUUUUUAAAAGGGAUAAUUCACUCAAAAAAUGAAAAAUCAUUUACUCACCCUUAAGUUGUAUCAAACCUGUAUGAGUUUCUUGAUGGAAGCCAUCGACUUCUAUAAUAUUUCAUUUUUUUUUUUAAUUAAUUAAUUUAUUUAUUCAUUCUAAGUCAAUGGCUACUGUCAAUGGUUUGGUUACUUAUUCUUCAAAAUAUUUUCAACAGAAGAAAUAACUCAUAUAGGUUUGGAACAAGUGGAGGGUGAGUAAAUAAUGACGUAUUUUAUUUAUUUAUUUUUUUCAUUAGGGGUGAAAGGUGUCUUUAAAUUAAUGCCACUAUGAGCCCAAGUAUAUUUUUAAGUAUACUUUAUGUAGCAAGUAUACAAAUAUCAGUGUUCUAAUACUUGUAAGUGUACUGUUUCAAUACUCCUUGGGACUAAAUUGGCCCACUUUCUAGUAUAUAAAAGUAUACUUUUAAGUAUACUUUAAGUAUAACAGUAGCAAACUUUGAGUACACAACUAGUUUACCUCUAUGUUUGUAGUUUGUGCUGCAGUUAUACUAAAAGUAAACUUAUAGGUAUACUGAUAGUUUACUAAUUAAAGUUUUUUUGUACACUUUGAAUUAUAGUCUCAGUAAACUACUAGUUUAGUAGUUUUAUACUGCAAGUGCAAAAAGCUGUUUGGAAAUUCUGUACAGAAGAUGUGUACUAGCGCCCUCUACCAUACAACAAUGGAUUCUAGGAGCACAAGUAUAGCUCAAAUAUAUUUAGACUUUUUGUAAGUAUAAGUCAAGUAUACUUAAUAUUUCUGAUGAGUACAUAAAGCCCAUUUCUGAGAAGUCCAUAAAAAAGUAAACUAAAAGCAUACUUCCCUAUUUUUAGUUUAAAAGAAGUAUGCUAAUAGCACACUUGAAUAAACUUCUUUUUCAUAAGGGUAAGCA